UUACCGGAAGGCGAUUAUCAUUUAGAAGAAGAAAGAAGACUUUUUUAUGUAGGGAUGACCAGAGCAAAAAAUAGGCUUUAUUUAACUGCAGCCGAUUA
rnacentral:sRNA from 1 species